UCUCCACGUGCUGCCCCCUAGCACGGGCUCCGGCCCCUUCCGGUCCCUUCCGGCCGCACCAGCUCCAUGAGGCUGGGCAGGCGGCAGGUCUUGGCGCAGCCGACUCAGGGGCACCGGGCCCUGUGCUGGAGCAUCCCGUCUGUUUGCAAGGACGUGUUCCUCAUGAUCAGGCGCCACAAGACCACCAUCUUCACGGACGCCAAGGAGUCGAGCACCGUGUUCGAGCUGAAGCGCAUCGUCGAGGGCAUCCUCAAGCGGCCGCCCGACGAGCAGCGGCUGUACAAGGAUGACCAACUUCUGGAUGAUGGCAAGACACUGGGAGAGUGCGGCUUCACCAGUCAGACGGCACGGCCGCAGGCCCCGGCCACCGUGGGGCUGGCCUUCCGGGCAGAGUAAACGGUAUGGACUGAAGCGGCUGUUCUUUGCUUCUCCCACGGACUACUUUUGUUGCAGAAGUACACUUGUGGAUGACGCUUUCGAGGCCCUGCGGAUCGAGCCCUUCUCCAGUCCGCCCGAGCUGCCCGAUGUGAUGAAGCCACAGGACUCAGGAAGCAGCGCCAAUGAACAAGCAGUGCAGUGAGAGGGCUCCUGGCCCGCCCCCGGUGCGCCCUCCCCCCCCCCCCCAAUAAAAGAGAUUUGGGCAUCUGCCUGGUUGCUGCCUUUUUCUGCACCCCCUCUUCUGACUCAGGCAUCACCUUUCCUGGGACGGGGUCUGCUCCCCUGCAAGGUUCCUCCUCAGCCCCGUGUACUUGCGAGGGUGGCCGUGGCUGUGGGACCGACCCCCAAGCUCCUUGGGUCCCUGCUGUCACACCCACUCGAGCCUGCCCCUCCGGCUGUGGGCAGAGAACCGGGAGGAACCCAGAGCCCCAGGCCAGCCUUCUGCUCAGCCUGGGGACAGAGGUUCCUUCUUUGACUUCCAGCAAGCAGGCUCCCUCGGGCUCUGGCGCCUCUGGGCUGAGGGGCAGAGGCCAAAAUGUCAGCCAGAGCCAGUGAGGUUCCACGGGGAACCCAUCACCUACAGCCAGCCACCUUACCUGAGUCCUCUAAGGCUUGGGGGGGGGAUUCAAAGUGGAAAGACUGCUCACUCUCCACCUUCCACCCCUAAUAAUCUACAGACCCAA